UGUUGUUAUUGUGAGGAGGGGAAAAGGAAGCUGGCUGCUGGGAGCGGGGAGGAGGACGGCGGCGGAGGGCGGGACGACGUCUGUCAGACACGGACACGGUGACAGACACGACCGAAACAUGGCGAUUCAACAUGGCGGACUUCACGGAAGAGGACCCACGGCAUCUGACUCCUUCUAAGACUUCCACCGAUGCUCUGGCUGGUCUCGAGCUCUAUGUUCAUCUUGUUUUGCUUGAGUGAAUCAUCUUCAGUCGGCCAUCUGUGAGACGACAGGCUGGCGGGGUUUUCAGC